rfam:Pan troglodytes isolate Yerkes chimp pedigree #C0471 (Clint) chromosome 8, whole genome shotgun sequence.
AGCCAAACUCCUCCUGCAGCUCUGGUGGAAAAUGGAGAAGACUUUUCCUUUCCUCCAUCUCCCCCAGGGCCUGGUGGAGUAAGGCG